ACGAAGGGUGCAAGCGUUACUCGGAAUUACUGGGCGUAAAGCGUGCGUAGGUGGUUUGUUAAGUCUGAUGUGAAAGCCCUGGGCUCAACCUGGGAAUGGCAUUGGAAACUGGCAGGCUAGAGUGCGGUAGAGGAUGGCGGAAUUCCCGGUGUAGCAGUGAAAUGCGUAGAGAUCGGGAGGAACAUCUGUGGCGAAGGCGGCCAUCUGGACCAGCACUGACACUGAGGCACGAAAGCGUGGGGAGCAAACAGGAUUAGAUACCCUGGUAGUCCACGCCCUAAACGAUGCGAACUGGAUGUUGGGUGCAACUAGGCACUCAGUAUCGAAGCUAACGCGUUAAGUUCGCCGCCUGGGGAGUACGGUCGCAAGACUG
rnacentral:rRNA from 1 species